GGUAUUCCUGUGUUGCUUACCCACGAAAAGGAAUUCGACGGUUUUGAUGUCCCCAUCCGCCUUGUGCCCUUCGGGGAGCGGGGCGGACGCGAGGCGGGCUCCGUGUUCCCGGCGCGUCUGGCGCGUUUGUCGCUYGGCCGCUGCGGCCCAUGGGGUCUCGGCCCGUGCUCUCGGAUGCGGAACGCUACGUGUGGGCGUGGCUGGGGUCUCGGCCUCUGCUCGUCCAAGCUACACGCAUUGUCCCUUGACGCGAACGACCGCCGCGCCCGUCUUGAUCGGCCGACCGGGCCCCCGCCGYGGGGYUUCGGGAGGGCGGCUCAUGCGGGCGCCGGCGUCGGAGAGGAAUGCUAC
rnacentral:misc_RNA from 1 species